AAAUGGAUUUAUAAAACAAAGUUGAACAAAGAUGGUGGAGUUGACAAAUAUAAAGCUCGCCUUGUCGUGAAGGGAUACAAUCAAGAAUUUGGAGUUGAUUACAAGGAGGUGUUUGCUCCUGUUGCAAGGCUUGACACAAUUCGGCUAGUCUUAGCCAUGGCUGCUCAAAACUUUUGGUUCAUUUAUCAAUUAGAUGUGAAGUCUGCUUUCUUAUACGGCGAAUUGAAAGAAGAGGUAUAUGUCGAUCAACCUCUUGAGUAUGUGCGGAAAGGCGAGGAGGACAAGAUAUAUAAACUCAAAAAGGCUUUAUACGGUCUAAAGCAGGCACCUAGAGCCUGGUAUAGCCGUAUAGACUCUUAUUUGGCGAAAGAAGGUUUUCAUAAAUGUCCUCAUGAACACACUCUAUUUUUAAAGCUAGAAAAUGGAAAAAUGCUCAUUUUGUGUCUUUAUGUUGAUGACCUUAUUUGUAACGACCCGAGAAUCGGACCGCUACCGGCGCUAGGGUCCAGAUCGGCUUAAGGCCGCCAGGACCCGUAGCAAGCCUGACAUGAAACCUGUAAACCUGUAUAAUCCCAUACAUGAUCAACAACAUGCAUAAAAAUUAAAACUUUUCUUUCCAUAUACCUCAACCAAACUCAACCUGUGCAUGCACUGUACAUAACAUAAACAUAAUCAUGGCCCCUCAGUGGGAUCUCAUCAAUGCCUCAAUGGGCAAAACAUCAUAUGUUGCGUUGGUUUGCAUACGCAUCAUAAAAUAUUUAAGAUCAUGUAUUAAAAGGGAUAUCUUAUACAUAUAGUCAAGCACAACCUCUAAUCCUCAGAGUCAUUACAUACCUAAAACUGUAAUUUUACAUAACAUUAAUACAUUUAUCAUGUCCACACUAUCUAUUACAUUCACAUGACUUCCUUACUCUUGUAAACCUCCUGGUCUACCCUGAACCUGCAAUCCUGGGGAAAAUGGGAGAGGGGUGAGCUACAAGAGCCCAGUGAGCAGAAUAAUAAAAACAUUUAAAUCAUAUGGAUCAUGGAAUGCAUCACAUCACAGCUAAUCACAUCAAGGAUGAACUUGUCACCAAUAUCCCUCUACAUAGUCCAACUGUGCCAGAACGUAGAAUGGGUCCUGGUCUUUCCCUUACAUAGCAUAACAUAACAGUGUCCAACUGUGCCAGAACGUAGAAUGGGUCCUGGUCUUUCUCUUACAUAGUGCCAGCGAACGUAGAAUGGGUCCCACUGGUCUUACAUUCCGUACCGUACAUAUCACAUCGUCACAUCGUAGAUCGAGGGCUAUGGAUCAUCCAACAUUCAUCCACAUCAACAUUAAAAUAUGCAAUGCAACAUAUUCGUGAAUUCUAAUGCAACAACCUAGUACAUCUCAUGGCAUUCAUGAUGCGUGAAACAUGCUGAAAGUCCAUUAUUUGCUUUAAAACAUAAUAAGUUAUUCCACUCACCUCUGGGUAGCUCUGACCAGACACUGGAGCAGCUGACUCACUGCUGGGGUCCUCGGUUCCUCGGGUCCGAACCUACACAGGUGGACUCAAAUGAGGGACCAAACAAACAUGAACAUAACUCUAAACUACUCCCCAAAAACCCCCUAAAACAUCAUGAAACAAUCAUAGAAAAACAUGCAAAAGAGGGCUGGACAGGGCACUUUCGGCGGCCGAACCUGAGUUUUCCUCCAAGGUUGUUUUCAUGCAAAAACACAUUUCCAUUUUACUUCAAACCAUGAAAUACCUUAAAACAUUUUAUGAAAACAUGAUUCUACCCUACUAGAGGCUUCCGACAUCCGAGAUUCCACCGGACGGUAGGAAUUCUGAUACCGGAGUCUAGCCGGGUAUUACAUUCUCCCCCCCUUAAGAACAUUUGUCCCCGAAUGUUUCUCAACUAGCACAUAGCAUGGCAAAAACAUAACAUACAUACAUAGCACAUAAACACAUAGAGAUCUAACCUUAAAAGAGAUGAGGGUACUGCUGGAACAUAGACUCCCGUGUCUCCCAAGUGCAUUCCUCCAAAUUGUGGUGGUUCCAUAGGACUUUCACCAUCGGGAUUUCCUUGUUCCUUAACUUCCUGAUCUGGGUGUCUAUGAUCCGUACUGGCUGUUCAACAUAGGUGAGAUCCUCUUGGACCUCCACAUCAGGCUCACAGAGAACCUUGCUCGGAUCUGACACAAACUUCUUCAACAUUGAAACAUGGAAAACAGGAUGGAUUCUUUCCAUUGAAGCAGGUAAAUCCAGCUUGUACGACACAUUCCCAAUCUUUUGCAAGAUUUCAAAGGGUCCGAUGUAUCGUGGGGCUAGUUUACCUUUCUUUCCGAAGCGAACCACUCCUUUCAUAGGAGACACCUUGAGCAAUACCAGAUCCCCCUCCUGAAACUCGACCUGUCUUCUGCGGAUGUCUGCAUAACUCUUCUGUCUGCUUGCAGCAGUCUUGAUUCUUUCUCUGAUUAUGGGUACUACCCUACUGGUAAUCUCUACUAGCUCAGGCCCUGCCAAGGCCUUUUCUCCAACCUCUUCCCAGCAAACAGGUGAUCUGCACUUCCUUCCAUAUAAAGCUUCAUAUGGAGCCAUCCCGAUGCUCGUAUGAUGGCUGUUAUUGUAGGCAAACUCCACCAAAGGUAGAUGCUGCCUCCAAGAACCGCCAAAGUCCAGCACACACAUUCUGAGCAUAUCCUCUAUGGUCUGGAUGGUCCUUUCUGAUUGCCCGUCCGUCUGUGGAUGGAAAGCAGUGCUAAAAUCCAACCUAGUACCCAUGGCGUUCUGCAGACUCCGCCAAAAUCUGGAGGUGGACUAAGGCCCUCUAUCGGACACUAUUGAAACAGGAACCCCAUGCAGCCUUACGAUCUCAUCGACAUACACCUGCGCCAACUUAUCCACAGAAUAGCCACUCCUGACAGGGAUGAAGUGAGCAGAUUUGGUGAGUCUGUCCACAAUCACCCAUAUGGAGUCCAAUCUGUUGGACGUCGCCGGUAACCCCACUACGAAGUCCAUAGCUAUAUUUUCCCAUUUCCAUUCUGGAAUAGGUAGCGGGUUAAGCAUUCCAGCUGGCUUCUGAUGUUCCAGCUUCACCCUCUGACACACUUCGCAGGCUGACACAAACUGUUCCACUUCUUUCUUCAUAGCUGGCCACCAAUAAACCUUCUUUAGAUCUUGAUACAUCUUGGUGGCUCCGGGGUGAAUGCUGUAUCUUGCAUUAUGAGCCUCUCUCAUAAUGUCUCCUUUUAGCCCUAUGUCAUCUGGUACACAUAGUCGACUCCCAUAGCGGAGGAUCCCCUUGCUGUCGAAUCUGAACUCACUAUCAUUGCCUGACUGAACAGUCCUGGCAAUCUUCAGUAACUCCGGGUCCUCAUGCUGUUUCUGAGCCACCUGCUCCAGAAACACGGGUGCCACUCUCAUCUGGGCCACCAAGGCACCUGUACCAGAUAACUCCAUUUGUAGACCCUCCUCAACAAGCCUGUAAAACUCCUUCACCACUGGCCUCCUCUCUGCCGAUAUGUGGGAUAAACUGCCGAGUGAUUUCCGGCUUAAGGCUUCCCCCACAACAUUCGCCUUACCCGGAUGGUACUGAAUCUUGCAAUCAUAGUCACUCAGCAGCUCCACCCAUCUUCUCUGUCUCAAGUUCAAAUCUCUUUGACUCAAGAUGUACUGUAGGCUCUUAUGAUCCGUAAAGAUCUCACAUUUAACCCCAUAGAGGUAGUGCCUCCACAUCUUGAGUGCAAAGAUUACUGCUACCAUCUCCAGGUCAUGUGUGGGGUAAUUUAACUCAUGCUUCUUCAGCUGCCUAGAAGCAUAAGCAAUCACCCUUUCAUUUUGCAUUAACACACAACCCAAACCCACUCGGGAUGCAUCACAGAAGACCGUGAAGUCUUCACUGCUGGCUGGCAAAGCUAACACUGGUGCCGAAGUCAACCUCCUCUUAAGCUCUUCAAAACUUUCUUCGCACUGGUCGGUCCACACAAACUUCUGAUUCUUCCUGGUUAGCCUGGUCAGAGGAGCUGCAAUUUUCGAGAAGUCCUGGACGAACCUCCUGUAGUAACCUGCCAAACCCAAGAAACUUCUAAUCUCUGACACUGAAGUGGGUCUAGGCCAGUUAGCCACAGCUUCUACCUUCUUGGGGUCUACCUCUAUACCAUUUUCUGACACCACAUGCCCCAAGAAUGAAAUGCUCCUCAGCCAGAACUCACACUUAGAGAACUUGGCAUACAAGCCAUGUUCCCUCAAGGUCUGCAGAACCAACCUCAGAUGAUGGGCAUGAUCCUCUGCGUUCCUGAAAUACACUAAGAUAUCAUCUAUGAAGACAAUAACAAAGUGAUCCAGGUAUUGGCUAAAUACUUUGUUCAUGAGAUCCAUGAAUGCUGCAGGGGCGUUGGUUAACCCGAACGGCAUCACAAGGAACUCAAAAUGCCCAUAUCUGGUCCGGAAAGCUGUCUUUGGCACAUCUUCAUCCCUUAUCCUUAGCUGAUGGUACCCCGAUCUUAGAUCUAUUUUGGAGAAACAACCCGCUCCUGCUAGCUGGUCGAAUAGAUCAUCGAUCCUUGGCAGAGGGUACCUAUUUUUGGUAGUGACUUUGUUCAACUGCCUGUAGUCGAUACAAAGUCUAAGGGAUCCAUCCUUCUUCCUCACAAACAAGACCGGAGCACCCCCAAGGUGAGGUACUUUGUCGGAUGAAGCCCUUUUCUACCAGCUCUUGCAACUGCUCUUUCAACUCCUUCAACUCGGCUGAGGCCAUCCUGUAGAGAGGGAUAGAGAUCGGUCUAGCUCCAGGCACCAACUCUAUCUCGAACUCUAUCUCUCUAGCAGGUGGUAAACCUGGAAGCUCGUCUGGAAAAACAUCCUGAAAUUCUCUGACAACUGGCACCGAGGCUGGCUCCCUGACCUGACUGUCUAGCUCUCUCACAUGAGCUAAGUACCCCUGACAUCCCUUCCUAAGCAACCUACGAGCCUGAAGAGCUGAUAUCAGACCUCUAGGUGUACCACUCUUGUCUCCUCUAAAGACGACCUCUGACCCGUCCUGAUCUCUGAACCUGACUACCUUGUCCCUGCAGUCCAAGGAGCACCAUGGGUAGGUAGCCAAUCCAUCCCUAGAAUGACGUCAAAGUCUGUCAAAUCUAGAACCACAAGGUCGGCGGAGAGACAUCUUCCCUCAAUAAAAACUGGAUUGUACUGGCAGACUGACACUGCCACUGACGGGUCACACUUGGGUCCAUUGACCCAUAGGGGACACUCUAACCCAGAGACUAUCAGACCCAACCUCUCGACGACUCUCGGAGCAAUAAAUGAAUGAGAUGCACCCGGGUCCAUUAAUGCAUACACAUCAGAACACCCAAUGACGAGAUUACCUGACACCACGAUGUUGGAUGUGUUAGCCUCCUGCUGAGUCAUGGUGAAGAUCCUGGCUGGAGCUGAUGGACCUUCACCUCGGGAACCAGAAGAAGAGGCUGCCCCUCUCCCUCUACCUUUGCCACUGCCCUGAGUUGUAGCUGGAGCUGCUGGCUGUGCCACACUACCAGAAGCUGUCUGCUGGGGCUGGCCCAUAAAAGGUGCUCUAGGACACUCCCGAGCUAUGUGUCCCUCCUGUCCACAUCUGAAACAUGUAUUAGUCCCAGCUCGACACACUCCCCUGUGCGGCCUUCCACAUCUCUGGCAUUCUGUACCGUCUGAACCUAAGCUCGAGCCACCGCCAAAUCCCAGACCGAAUUUCAACUUAUUCCAAAACUUAUUCUUUUUCGGCUUCUUGGUGGUGUUAUCCCACCUCUUCUUACUUGAGCUCUGAGAAGAGAGACCUGGCCCUCCUCUGCCUAGGGUCUUAACCCCUGAAGACUGGGUCACUGACUGCUUUACUGACCCCUCAACUAUAGCACUCGCCUCCAUCCUUCGAGCCAUAUCCACCACAGUGUGGAAACUUUCCCUCUCAACUGACUGAAUCAACGAGGAGUACCUAGAAUGCAGCUUCAUAACAUAUCUCUUGGCUUUCUUCGUAUCUGUAUCUAGAGCUUGCCCUGAAAAAGGCAAUAGCUCCAAGAAUUUAUCUAUGAACUCCUCUACACUCAUGUGCUCUGUCUACCUCAGUUGCUCAAACUCAAUCAUCUUCAGUUCUCUGGAACUGUCUGGAAAAGCCCAUCCAGCGAACUCAUUUGCAAAUUCUUCCCAUGUCAUGCCGUUUAGUCUCGGGUCCACAUAACACUUGAACCAUUCCCGUGCCUUCUUGCACUUUAAAGUGAACCCUGCCAUCUGAAUGGCCCUGCUAUCAUCCGCCCCUAGCUCAUCAGUUAUUGUCUUCACUACUCUCAUAUACUCAAAGGGGUCAUCCCCUGAUUUGUAUUUGGGAGCAUCCAGCUUAAGGUAAUCUGUCAUCUUUACUUUGCUCCCACUGGCUGAGCUAGGUCUAGAAGGUUGAGUAACUAGGGCUGCUGGUUCUGUAGGUGGUGGAGGUGGGGGUGCAGCAUUCCCCGAGGUGGGGUUUGCCGGGUUUGGAUAAAAGGGUGAGGGUGGAUAAGCUGGGUACUGUGUGUAAGGUGGAUAGAAAGGUGGAUAAGGCAUGUAGGUAGGGUAGGGGUUAAAGCUGGAAUAAUCCGAUGUGCCUCCCAUCGGAUACCCUGAACCCUAUGGGAAGGGUGGAUAAUGGGGUGGAAAACCAUACCCCAAGGCUUGAACGCCUCCCUGAGACUCCCCUGUCCCUUCUUCCUCCAUGCUCACAUCCAGGUUCCCAUCCCUCCUCUGAUCCUCUUCCAUAACCUCCCUCACAUAUGAAGAACUCCUCCUCUAUCAGUCCCCCUUCUGCUAGCAUCAAAAGACCUUCUAGGGUCCCUUGACACUCUUUCUCUGUUUGCUCUACAAGACAUUGCCCUAGGCAAUGUAGGAGGACGGGCGCUCGUGCCCUCAUCCUCAGGUGGCACUCCAGUCAAUCGUGCAGAUCGACGAGUUCCUCUCAUCCUGUUUUCUGAAAAACAGUACACAUCACACAAACAUUAGCAUCAUAUGGUUCAUGUGGGCACACAUGAACCCUCAUCACAUACACAUCAUUCAUAUCAUAGCAUCAAUGCACAUGUAUAUAAUCAUGGCAUUUCACCUCAUCAUACAAGACAGGACUCCACAUCCUAUCCUAGUGGACAUGAUCUUUCCUAUUGUGCUUGACCUUCUAUAAUAUUUAUGAGCCCGACACUCUAGGUCCGAUCCUAUGAACCUAGGGCUCUGAUACCAUUCUGUAACGACCCGAGAAUCGGACCGCUACCGGCGCUAGGGUCCAGAUCGGCUUAAGGCCGCCGGGACCCGUAGCAAGCCUGACAUGAAACCUGUAAACCUGUAUAAUCCCAUACAUGAUCAACAACAUGCAUAAAAAUUAAAACUUUUCUUUCCAU
rnacentral:lncRNA from 1 species